rnacentral:ncRNA from 2 species
CGAUGUUACGAGGCGGAGGGUUUCUUCGGUAGCAUCCCCUUCGAACGGCUUCGGCCGAGAGGAAGCCGGUGUGAGUCCGGCGCGGUCGCGCCACUGUGAAAGCCAGACCCUCUCCCGUGAGCCCAC